CAAGCGUUGUUCGGAAUUACUGGGCGUAAAGGGCGCGUAGGCGGCCCUGUAAGUCAAAGGUGAAAUCCCUCGGCUCAACUGAGGAACUGCCUUUGAAACUGCAGGGCUUGAGUCCGGGAGGGGGUAGCGGAAUUCCCAGUGUAGCGGUGAAAUGCGUAGAUAUCUGGAGGAACACCGGUGGCGAAGGCGGCGUUCUGGACUGUAACUGACACUGAGAAACGAAAGCCAGGGUAGCAAACGGG
rnacentral:rRNA from 1 species